rnacentral:rRNA from 1 species
CAUAGGUUAAUGAGGCGAACCGGGGGAACUGAAACAUCUAAGUACCCCGAGGAAAAGAAAUCAACCGAGAUUCCCCCAGUAGCGGCGAGCGAACGGGGAGCAGCCCAGAGCCUGAAUCAGUGUGUGUGUUAGUGGAAGCGUCUGGAAAGGCGCGCGAUACAGGGUGACAGCCCCGUACACAAAAAUGCACAUACUGUGAGCUCGAUGAGUAGGGCGGGACACGUGGUAUCCUGUCUGAAUAUGGGGGGACCAUCCUCCAAGGCUAAAUACUCCUGACUGACCGAUAGUGAACCAGUACCGUGAGGGAAAGGCGAAAAGAACCCCGGCGAGGGGAGUGAAAAAGAACCUGAAACCGUGUACGUACAAGCAGUGGGAGCACGCUUAGGCGUGUGACUGCGUACCUUUUGUAUAAUGGGUCAGCGACUUAUAUUCUGUAGCAAGGUUAACCGAAUAGGGGAGCCGAAGGGAAACCGAGUCUUAACUGGGCGUUAAGUUGCAGGGUAUAGACCCGAAACCCGGUGAUCUAGCCAUGGGCAGGUUGAAGGUUGGGUAACACUAACUGGAGGACCGAACCGACUAAUGUUGAAAAAUUAGCGGAUGACUUGUGGCUGGGGGUGAAAGGCCAAUCAAACCGGGAGAUAGCUGGUUCUCCCCGAAAGCUAUUUAGGUAGCGCCUCGUGAAUUCAUCUCCGGGGGUAGAGCACUGUUUCGGCAAGGGGGUCAUCCCGACUUACCAACCCGAUGCAAACUGCGAAUACCGGAGAAUGUUAUCACGGGAGACACACGGCGGGUGCUAACGUCCGUCGUGAAGAGGGAAACAACCCAGACCGCCAGCUAAGGUCCCAAAGUCAUGGUUAAGUGGGAAACGAUGUGGGAAGGCCCAGACAGCCAGGAUGUUGGCUUAGAAGCAGCCAUCAUUUAAAGAAAGCGUAAUAGCUCACUGGUCGAGUCGGCCUGCGCGGAAGAUGUAACGGGGCUAAACCAU